rnacentral:rRNA from 1 species
AUUGAACGCUGGCGGCAUGCCUUACACAUGCAAGUCGAACGGCAGCACGGGUGCUUGCACCUGGUGGCGAGUGGCGAACGGGUGAGUAAUACAUCGGAACAUGUCCUGUAGAGGGGGAUAGCCCGGCGAAAGCCGGAUUACUACCGCAUACGAUCUACGGAUGAAAGCGGGGGACCUUCGGGCCUCGCGCUAUAGGGUUGGCCGAUGGCUGAUUAGCUAGUUGGUGGGGUAACGGCCUACCAAGGCGACGAUCAGUAGCUGGUCUGAGAGGGCGACCAGCCACACUGGGACUGAGACACGGCCCAGACUCCUACGGGAGGCAGCAGUGGGGAAUUUUGGACAAUGGGCGAAAGCCUGAUCCAGCAAUGCCGCGUGUGUGAAGAAGGCCUUCGGGUUGUAAAGCACUUUUGUCCGGAAAGAAAACCUUGGCCCUAAUACGGUCGGGGGAUGACGGUACCGGAAGAGUAAGCACCGGCUAACUACGUG